rnacentral:tRNA from 1 species
UCCACAGUGGCAGAUUAGUGCGUUAGAUUUAAGCUCUAAACAUAAGAGUAGUUUCUCUUCUAUGGAA